GACAGCUAACUGACGUUCUGGAGAAAGAUGUCUGAUUUAAGUGACUUUUUACGUGCCAGAGGAGUCCCCGAAGCUUCCAUUGCACUAAUGGAAGAACAAAAGAUUGACUGUGAUGUCGCAGCAAAGCUGGAAAAUUAUGGAGACGGAAUUGCUGUUUUCAACUUCUGCUGAAGCAAAAAACUGUCCAAAAAAGGAAAAAAAGGCCUUCUGCUAAAGACUGUUCCCUUCUUAAAGUGAAAGAAGCUAUAAAAUGUCAGAUUUGGAU